rnacentral:SRP_RNA from 1 species
CCUGGUGACGUAUGCCUAUAAUCCCAGCUACUUGGGAUGCUGAGGCUGGAGGAUAGCUUGAGCUUAGGAGUUCUGGGCUGCAGUGCGCUAUGCCGAUUGGGUGUCUGCACUAAGUUCGCCAUCAAUAUGGUGACCUUCCAGGAGCUGGGGACCACCAGGUUGCCUAAGGAGGGGUGAACCAGUCCAGGUCAGAAACGGAACAUGUCAAAACUCCCAUGCUGAGCAGUACCUGAUUUUUUAAAUUAAUUUAUUUAUUUAAGAAAGGAGACAUUAACAAAAUCAU